rnacentral:rRNA from 1 species
CCAUCAGCUAGUUGGCGGGGUAACGGCCCACCAAGGCAGAGACGGGUAGGGGGUGUGAGAGCAUGGCCCCCCACAAUGGGACUGGAACACGGCCCAUACUCCUACGGGAGGCAGCAGCAGGGAAUAUUGCACAAUGGACGGAAGUCUGAUGCAGCGACGCCGCGUGGAUGAAGAAGGCCCUCGGGUUGUAAAAUCCUUUACAGGGGGAAGAGGAAGGACGGUACCCCUGGAACAAGUGUCGGCUAACUACGUGCCAGCAGCCGCGGUAAGACGUAGGACACAAGCGUUAUCCGGAUUUACUGGGCGUAAAGCGUCUGCAGGCGGACAGGUAAGUUGGGCGUGAAAGCUCCGGGCCCAACCCGGAGAGGUCGUUCAAUACUGCGUGUCUAGAGGGUGUCAGAGGGGAGUGGAAUUUCCGGAGUAGCGGUAAAAUGCGCAGAGAUCGGAAAGAACACCAAUGGCGAAGGCAGCUCCCCUGGGGCAACCCUGACGCUAAGAGACGAAAGCUAGGGGAGCGAACAGGAUUAGAGACCCUGGUAGUCCUAGCCCUAAACGAUGGAUGCUGGAUGUGGGGCCAUAGCGCUCCGUGUCGAAGCGAACGCGUUAAGCAUCCCGCCUGGGGACUACGGCCGCAAGGUUAAAACUCAAACGAAUUGACGGGACCCCGCACAAGCAGCGGAGCGUGUGGUUUAAUUCGAUGCUACACGAAGAACCUUACCUGGGUUUGACAUCUAGGUGGUAGUGAAGCGAAAGCGGAGCGACCCUUCGGGGAGCCUAGACAGGUGCUGCAUGGCUGUCGUCAGCUCGUGCCGUGAGGUGUCGGGUUAAGUCCCGUAACGAGCGCAACCCUUGCCCUCCGUUAUACGUGUCAGAGGGGACUGCCGGCGGUAAGCCGGAGGAAGGUGGGGAUGACGUCAAGUCAGCAUGGCCUUUAUAUCCAGGGCUACACACACGCUACAAUGGCCAGUACAAAGGGCAGCGAAGCCGCGAGGUGGAGCGAAUCCCAGCAAAGCUGGUCGUAGUUCGGAUUGCAGGCUGCAACCCGCCUGCAUGAAGCUGGAGUUGCUAGUAACCGCGCGUCAGCCAUAGUGCGGUGAUACGUUCCCGGGGUUUGUACACACCGCCCGUCACGUCAUGGGAGUCGAUAACGCCUGAAGCC